AGACGCAUAGCUCAAUGGUGAGAGCGCCCGUCCUAUAAACGGGGGUAUGAGGGUUCGACUCCCUCUGCGUCUACCA
rnacentral:tRNA from 1 species